rnacentral:tRNA from 1 species
CUAAAGCCUCCCGCUUACACCGGAAAAAUAUCUGUUCAAUUCAGAUCAUUUUGA